CCGCAUAAAUCCAAGAACCGCAUGGUUCUUGGCUGAAAGAUGGCGUAAGCUAUCGCUUUUGGAUGGACCCGCGGCGUAUUAGCUAGUUGGUGAGGUAACGGCUCACCAAGGCAAUGAUACGUAGCCGAACUGAGAGGUUGAUCGGCCACAUUGGGACUGAGACACGGCCCAAACUCCUACGGGAGGCAGCAGUAGGGAAUCUUCCACAAUGGACGCAAGUCUGAUGGAGCAACGCCGCGUGAGUGAAGAAGGCUUUCGGGUCGUAAAACUCUGUUGUUGGAGAAGAAUGGUCGGCAGAGUAACUGUUGUCGGCGUGACGGUAUCCAACCAGAAAGCCACGGCUAACUACGUGCCAGCAGCCGCGGUAAUACGUAGGUGGCAAGCGUUAUCCGGAUUUAUUGGGCGUAAAGCGAGCGCAGGCGGUUUUUUAAGUCUGAUGUGAAAGCCCUCGGCUUAACCGAGGAAGUGCAUCGGAAACUGGGAAACUUGAGUGCAGAAGAGGACAGUGGAACUCCAUGUGUAGCGGUGAAAUGCGUAGAUAUAUGGAAGAACACCAGUGGCGAAGGCGGCUGUCUGGUCUGUAACUGACGCUGAGGCUCGAAAGCAUGGGUAGCGAACAGGAUUAGAUACCCUGGUAGUCCAUGCCGUAAACGAUGAAUGCUAGGUGUUGGAGGGUUUCCGCCCUUCAGUGCCGCAGCUAACGCAUUAAGCAUUCCGCCUGGGGAGUACGACCGCAAGGUUGAAACUCAAAGGAAUUGACGGGGGCCCGCACAAGCGGUGGAGCAUGUGGUUUAAUUCGAAGCAACGCGAAGAACCUUACCAGGUCUUGACAUCUUUUGAUCACCUGAGAGAUCAGGUUUCCCCUUCGGGGGCAAAAUGACAGGUGGUGCAUGGUUGUCGUCAGCUCGUGUCGUGAGAUGUUGGGUUAAGUCCCGCAACGAGCGCAACCCUUAUGACUAGUUGCCAGCAUUUAGUUGGGCACUCUAGUAAGACUGCCGGUGACAAACCGGAGGAAGGUGGGGAUGACGUCAAAUCAUCAUGCCCCUUAUGACCUGGGCUACACACGUGCUACAAUGGAUGGUACAACGAGUUGCGAGACCGCGAGGUCAAGCUAAUCUCUUAAAGCCAUUCUCAGUUCGGACUGUAGGCUGCAACUCGCCUACACGAAGUCGGAAUCGCUAGUAAUCGCGGAUCAGCACGCCGCGGUGAAUACGUUCCCGGGCCUUGUACACACCGCCCGUCACACCAUGAGAGUUUGUAACACCCGAAGCCGGU
rnacentral:rRNA from 2 species